rnacentral:rRNA from 1 species
CCUACGGGUGGCAGCAGUGAGGAAUAUUGGUCAAUGGGCUUACGCCUGAACCAGCCAAGUCGCGUGAGGGAAGACUGCCCUAUGGGUUGUAAACCUCUUUUGUCAGGGAGCAACGCCGGCUACGUGUAGCCGGACUGAGAGUACCUGAAGAAAAAGCAUCGGCUAACUCCGUACCAGCAGCCGCGGUAAUACGGAGGAUGCGAGCGUUAUCCGGAUUUAUUGGGUUAAAGGGGUGCGUAGGCGGAAUGCCAAGUCAGCGGUAAAAUCGCGGGGGUCAACCUCGCUCCGCCGUUGAAACGGGCGUUCUUGAGUGGGCGAGAGGUAUGCGGAAUGCGAGGUGUAGCGGUGAAAUGCAUAGAUA